GUGGACGUGUCUCUGUCAGUGAUGUGAUGAGUGGGCGUGUCUCUGGUCAGUGAUUUGAUGAGUGGGCGUGUCUCUGGUCAGUGAGGUCAUGAGUGGGCGUGUCUCUGGUCAGUGAUUUGAUGGGUGGGCGUGUCUCUGGUCAGUGAGGUCAUGAGUGGGCGUGUCUCUGGUCAGUGAUGUGAUGAGUGGGCGUGUCUCUGGUCAGUGAUGUCAUGAAUGGGCGUGUCUCUGGUCAGUGAUGUGAUGAGUGGGCGUGUCUCUGGUAAGUGAAGUAAUGAGUGGACGUGUCUCUGGUCAGUGAGGUCAUGAGUGGGCGUGUCUCUGGUCAGUGAUGUGAUGAGUGGGCGUGUCUCUGGUCAGUGAUGUGAUGAGUGGGCGUGUCUCA